rnacentral:rRNA from 1 species
GAUGAACGCUAGCGGCAGGCUUAAUACAUGCAAGUCGAGGGGCAUCAAGGUACACGAAAGUGUAUUGUUGGCGACCGGCGGACGGGUGAGUAAUAGGUAGGUAACCUACCUCAUACUGAGGCAUAGCUGGGAGAAAUUCCAGGUAAUUCCUCAUGAGGUUAUAUGACACAUGUGAUAUAAUCAAAGGUAUCGCAAGGUACUGGUAUGAGAUGGGCUUACUGACCAUUAGCUAGUUGGUGAGAUAAGAGCUCACCAAGGCGAAGAUGGUUAGGGGUUUUGAGAGAGAGAUCCCCCACAUUGGAACUGAGAUACGGUCCAGACUCCGUACGGGAGCAGCAGUAGGGAAUAUUGGGCAAUGGGCGGAAGCCUGACCCAGCCAUGCCGCGUGAAGGAAGACGGCCUUAGUGGGUUGUAAACUUCUUUACUAUGCGACUAACUAGAUUUACGAGAUAAUUCUAUAGAAUGUAGCAUAGACAAAAAGCAACCC